CGGCAAGUGCAGAGGACGAUGCACAGAUCCUCGGACAUGUUUCAUCUGAAAUCGAGCCUAGUGGAGCGAUGGCUUCUACAACUGACUAACAACAUAACUGACAACUAAACCACCAUAUCCUGAUAUCGUUUCCAGUGACAUGAAAGACGACGUGGAAAAAAAACUAAUCUGUAAUAGAGUGUGAUCAUUCCCAGGCUUAUCAGUAAAUUCCAG
rnacentral:lncRNA from 1 species